CCUACGGGAGGCAGCAGUCGAGAAUCAUUCACAAUGGGGGAAACCCUGAUGGUGCGACGCCGCGUGGGGGAAUGAAGGUCUUCGGAUUGUAAACCCCUGUCAUGUGGGAGCAAAUUAAAAAGAUAGUACCACAAUAGGAAGAGACGGCUAACUCUGUGCCAGCAGCCGCGGUAAUACAGAGGUCUCAAGCGUUGUGCGGAAUCACUGGGCGUAAAGCGUGCGUAGGCUGUUGCGUAAGUCGUGUGUGAAAGGCGCGGGCUCAACCCGCGGACGGCACAUGAUACUGCGAGACUAGAGUAAGGGAGAGGGAACCGGAAUUCUCGGUGUAGCAGUGAAAUGCGUAGAUAUCGAGAGGAACACUCGUGGCGAAGGCAGGUUCCUGGACAUUAACUGACGCUGAGGCACGAAGGCCAGGGGAGCGAAAGGGAUUAGAUACCCUUGUAGUC
rnacentral:rRNA from 1 species